rnacentral:rRNA from 2 species
UAAGGUAGCGAAAUUCCUUGUCGGGUAAGUUCCGACCCGCACGAAUGGUGUAACGACUCUGGACACUGUCUCGACGCGAGACUCGGUGAAAUUUAUGUACCGGUAAAGAAGCCGGUUACCCAUAGUUAGACGGAAAGACCCCGUGAACCUUCACCGUAGCUUACUAUUGGAACUUGGUUUACCAUGUGUAGUAUAGGUGGGAGACAGAGAAGCUUGGCCGUCAGGUUAGGCGGAGUCAACAGUGAAAUACCACCCUUGGUACGUCAGGUUUCUAACCUUUGGCCGUGGAUCCGGCAAAGGGACCGUGGUAGGUGGGCGGUUUGACUGGGGCGGUCGCCUCCUAAAAGGUAACGGAGGUGCGCGAAGGUCUCCUCACACCGGUUGGAAAUCGGUGCGCGAGUGUAAAGGCACAAGGAGGCUUAACUGCGAGACCGACAGGUCGAGCAGAUACGAAAGUAGGUCUUAGUGAUCUGGCGGUAGCGUGUGGAAGCGCCGUCACUUAACGGAUAAAAGGUACUCCGGGGAUAACAGGCUGAUUUUCCCCAAGAGUUCACAUCGACGGGAAAGUUUGGCACCUCGAUGUCGGCUCAUCGCAUCCUGGGGCUGAAGCAGGUCCCAAGGGUUUGGCUGUUCGCCAAUUAAAGCGGUACGUGAGCUGGGUUCAGAACGUCGCGAGACAGUUCGGUCCCUAU